UACGUAGGGUGCAAGCGUUAUUCGGAAUUAUUGGGCGUAAAGAGCGUGUAGGCGGCUUGGUAAGUCUGAUGUGAAAUCCCGGGACUCAAUCCUGGAAGUGCAUCGGAUACUGCUAGGCUAGAAUGUAGGAGAGGAGAGCGGAAUUCCUGGUGUAGAGGUGAAAUUCGUAGAUAUCAGGAGGAACAACAACGGCGAAGGCAGCUCUCUGGACUAUUAUUGACGCUGAGACGCGAAAGCGUGGGUAGCAAACAGG
rnacentral:rRNA from 1 species